AGAUUGAACGCUGGCGGCAUGCUUUACACAUGCAAGUCGAACGGCAGCACGGGGGCAACCUUGGUGGCGAGUGGCGAACGGGUGAGUAAUGCAUCGGAACGUAUCCUUAAGUGGGGGAUAACGCAUCGAAAGAUGCGCUAAUACCGCAUAAUCUCUGAGGAGAAAAGCAGGGGAUCGCAAGACCUUGCGCUUUUGGAGCGGCCGAUGUCUGAUUAGCUAGUUGGUGAGGUAAAGGCUUACCAAGGCUUCGAUCAGUAGCUGGUCUGAGAGGACGACCAGCCACACUGGGACUGAGACACGGCCCAGACUCCUACGGGAGGCAGCAGUGGGGAAUUUUGGACAAUGGGGGAAACCCUGAUCCAGCCAUGCCGCGUGAGUGAAGAAGGCCUUCGGUGUAAAGCUCUUUCAGCCGGAACGAAAGGUUACGUAAAGUACCGUAGACUAAUGACGUACGAAGAAGAAGCACCGACUAACACGUGACCAGACACGCGACGUAA
rnacentral:rRNA from 1 species